UGUGACUUCUGCUACUUCUGCGAUUUCUGCUACUUCUGCUACUUCUGCGAUUUCUGUGAUUCCUGCGAUUUCUGCGACUUACCACCGUAUGAGAAAGUUACAUCUGUUAACACAGAAAAUUGCAUCUCAACAAACCUGUCUUUGGCAAGUACCUGAACUACAUUUCAGUCACUCAGUAAAGUGAUAACUCAAAAUAUCAUUGUCAACAGAUCUGAAGAAAUUGCCACUGCGUCUUUAGACCGUUUUCGUCAGACGAGAGACACAGUUCUGACUCUGAUUACUGGUUGCUGUACGUAUCUAUCCACAUCAAGGCUGUUUUUGAGAGAGACUCGUGAAGAUUCAAGACAGUUCUUAGAGGAUUUGCAGUUUAAAAGUGAAAUAAUUGUGAAAUAAGUGUGUGAAUGAUUAAACUGUGUUUUAUUGAAGUUGUUGUGCGAUUUUAAAGGAAUAAUAAAUGUCAA